GACCGUGAAAACCUGGGGCUCAACCCCAGGCCUGCGGUCGAUACGGGCAGGCUAGAGUUCGGUAGGGGAGACUGGAAUUCCUGGUGUAGCGGUGAAAUGCGUAGAUAUCGGGAAGAAGGCCGGUGGCGAAGGCGGCGCUCUGGAACGUCUCUGACGCUGAGGUGCGAAAGCGUGGGGAGCAAACGGGAUUAGAUACCCCGGUAGUCCACGCUGUAAACGAUGAGUACUAGGUGUAGGCGACAACCGUGGUCUGUGCCGAAGCUAACGCGAUAAGUACUCCGCCUGGGGACUACGGCCGUAAGGCUAAAACUCAAAGGAAUUGACGGGGACCCGCACAAGCAGCGGAGCGUGUUGUUUAAUUCGAUGUAACGCGAAGAACCUUACCUGGGUUUGACAUGUGCGUAGUAGUGAAGCGAAAGCCGAACGACCCUUCGGGGAGCGCACACAGGUGUUGCAUGGCUGUCGUCAGCUCGUGUCGUGAGAUGUUGGGUUAAGUCCCGCAACGAGCGCAACCCUCGUCGUUAGUUACAAGUGUCUAGCGAGACUGCCGGUUAUACACCGGAGGAAGGUGAGGACGAUGUCAAGUCAGCAUGACCCUUAUAUCCAGGGCUACUAACACGCUACAAUGGCCGGUACAACGGGCAGCGAAACCGCGAGGUUAAGCGAAUCCCUUAAAACCGGUCUCAGUUCGGAUUGGAGUCUGCAACUCGACUCCUUGAAGUCGGAAUCGCUAGUAAUCGCGAAUCAGAACGUCGCGGUGAAUACGUUCCCGGGCUUUGUACACACCGCCCGUCAAGUCAUGGAAGUGGGUUGCACCAGAAGUGGCUAGUCUAACCUUCGGGAGGACGGUCACCACGGUGUGGUUCAUGACUGGGACUAAGUCGUAACAAGGUAGCCGUA
rnacentral:rRNA from 1 species